rnacentral:rRNA from 1 species
ACGGGAGGCAGCAGUGGGGCAUAUUGGACAAUGGGGGAAACCCUGAUCCAGCGACGCCGCGUGAGUGAAGAAGUAUUUCGGUAUGUAAAGCUCUAUCAGCAGGGAAGAAAACAAUGACGGUACCUGACUAAGAAGCCCCGGCUAACUACGUGCCAGCAGCCGCGGUAAUACGUAGGGGGCAAGCGUUAUCCGGAUUUACUGGGUGUAAAGGGGGCGUAGACGGUGAGGCAAGUCUGAAGUGAAAGCCCGGGGCUCAACCCCGGGACUGCUUUGGAAACUGUCUGACUAGAGUGCAGGAGAGGUAAGUGGAAUUCCUAGUGUAGCGGUGAAAUGCGUAGAUAUUAGGAGGAACACCAGUGGCGAAGGCGGCUUACUGGACUGUAACUGACGUUGAGGCUCGAAAGCGUGGGGAGCAAACAGGAUUAGAUACCCUGGUA